rnacentral:rRNA from 1 species
CAGCAGCCGCGGGAAUACGUAGGUGGCAAGCGUUGUCCGGAAUUAUUGGGCGUAAAGGGCUCGCAGGCGGUUUCUUAAGUCUGAUGUGAAAGCCCCCGGCUCAACCGGGGAGGGUCAUUGGAAACUGGGAAACUUGAGUGCAGAAGAGGAGAGUGGAAUUCCACGUGUAGCGGUGAAAUGCGUAGAGAUGUGGAGGAACACCAGUGGCGAAGGCGACUCUCUGGUCUGUAACUGACGCUGAGGCGCGAAAGCGUGGGGAGCAAACAGGAUUAGAUACCCCUGUAGUCCCUGUCUCUUAUAC